UGGGGCUGUAGCUCAGUGGUAGAGCUCUUGCCUAGCAUGCAUGAGGCACUGUGUUCGAUCCUCAUGCACCACAA
rnacentral:tRNA from 1 species